UUACCCCACAAGGAAUAGGGAGGAACGAAACACACACACACGCGCGCGCGCGCGCACGCACACACACACACACACACACACACGGCUCCCUGUGAACAAAUGGAGAAGAGAUCAGACAGGAAAGGAGAAGAGAAUGCGGAGGUGCACCAAACAGGAGGAAAGGGCAGUUCGCACAACGGGGCACAAAGAGAAGCCAAGAUGGCUGUCCCCAAGCUCCAGCAGGCAGGGCUGUUUCUGAUUAGGAAUCUGAUUUUCACCAAAGCUUUCUACAAAAACCAAGACUUAAGACUUCUCCAGUAGUGUGGUAAAUGCCUAGAGCUAAGAUCUGGGAGACCAAGAGAACAGUCUUGAUGGCCAUGAAGUAGCCACGUGGCUAAGAAUAAACCAUGUAACCUUU